CUGGCCCUCCCAUGGGUCUGAAUUUCCCUCUGCCUUAAUUCCCAGUCAUUUGACACAUGGUCUUGAGGGCCUACUGUGUGCCAGGCCCUGUG
rnacentral:miRNA from 14 species